CCCAACAUAAUCAAUAUAAUGUUUUUCAACAUGAAGCUAAGGGGAGGCCCCAUCAAUGAUAAUUUACAUCAAAGUUCUAGGACAGUUUUUCAGUUCUAUCUCCUGUUUGCUAAGGUUUAUUUACUAGGCAGUAAAUUAGGACCCAGGACCCCGUCCACAGUUCUACCACCACAUUAACAGUGUUAAUACAUGAGCUACAUGGGAUGGAUGCUACAUGUUCAUGAAGAAAACCUCUGCAGGAAGAGACUCGUACAGGAAGUCCUUUCAGACAGACCUGCUUUAUGAGUCAGAGUUCUACAUGAGGUCAAAUCAAACUGACCUUUUCUGAGUCUUUAACUCAGACAACCUGCAGCAAAUCUGGUCUCUGAUGAAUUCUCUGUUAGUGGAUGUUUGAAAGAAGCAACGUUAAACUUUCCUGCUGUGGUUUCUGCUCAGUAAAGAUGGAGGCUGCUGCUCUCUGUCUUCAUUCAUCUCUGAUUAUUUACAGUUUUUAGAAGAUGAUUCAACCUGACAGAGAAAAUCCCCUGAACUCACAGAUCAGUUUCAUUUUGACUUCAUCACAAACUAAGGUGUGGUUUAUCUGUUUAUCUUGGCAGACUGUCAGAGUCCUGAGGCAGAAAGAGGAUAAUAGACAAGGAGACCAACGAAUCAGAAACUUUGCAUCCACAUUUGAAAUUCAAAACAUUUAAUGAGCUUCCAGAGCUGGUUCUCCUGCUGCACAGAUCUGUGUGAUCAAUAAAACAGUCUUUAUCCAGCAGAGUUAAUGAGGUCUGAGAACAGCAAACUGCUUCUUCAUGUCUGUGAACUACAGGAAGAAGAAUUAAACUUUCAUAAUAAACCUAAACUCUCUUUAUCUUUAGCAUGGUGUGUCCAGAGGAACAUGAUCUGUGUUCAGACAGACUGUCUCUAAAGUCUCUGGUUGUAGAAACAGAUUCUACAGAGCAACAGGAAGUUCUGGUAAACUACAGUCUGGAUGUUUUCUACACUAAUCAGAUCUAUGGAGAAACACAACCUAAAAGUGAUGAAUGAGAGACUUUCUGUUUCCACAGAACACAAAUAAAAGACCAACAUGGAACAUGUGACUCUUCAGUGUUUACAUGUUAAAUAAGUGAUGAUAUGGGACAGUGUUUACCCUGAUGACAGGAAGCCCAGUUGACCUUCUGUGAAGGACAGCUGAUGGUUUGUAUGAUCUGAAUGAUAUUUAACAACUUGGUCUCAGUGGGAGGAUGACUGUCAUGUUACUGAGAAAAUGUGACACUGUGGACUUUCCAUGGGACUCAGUGGGUUUUACUGAAUACUACAAUCUCAUUAUAGGAAGAACAAAAAUACUUCUGCUAUUUAUCCUGGUAAAGAGAACAACACGUCCUGGUUCAGAGAGAGGAGCAGCAGAGCUGUAGUUAAGGGGUGUUGUGUAACGACAAUGAAGUCAGUCUGGUUUUUGUUUUGUUUGUUGAUCCUGUAGAUAAGCUCCUGAUCUGUUUGUUGUGAACCAGUUGAACAGGUUGUAGUCAGACAUGAAGCAGCAGGAUCAGAAUCUGGAGAAACAACCUUUAUUAUCACUUCUGCAGAAAAGAAACCAGCUUUAAAACUCUACAUAGAAACUAGAAUGAACCACAGAUCACUGAUUACAUUCAACUUUGAUAUCAUUGUAAAAGAACAAAGACAAACAGCUUAGAAUCAGUGCCAGAGUGCAGAAGCAGCAGUAAAGUUCAUUAUUUACUGUAAAGUUCAUUAUUUCCACUGUGUUGCAGGAUAAACAGUCAUUUCUGUGAAGUGAAAAAGUACAAUAACUGUUUAUUCUAUUCAACCUUCAGUAACAAACAAUGUUAUUUUACUGGACUACAUUUAUCUGCAGAUUAAAAAAUAAACAUGAUAUAGGAUGAAGAUUAAACUGACAGACCACACAGCAGAAUAAAAAACAGAUGAUAAUCAUGAUAUUAGCUGCCAACCAAUAAAACUGUUGAGAAAAUCAUCAGAGCUGCUAACAGAUAAAACAUUCAAACCAGUUCACUUUAAGGUUCUGUUCAUCAGUUCUGCUUCAUUCUGGACAAUCAGAACUUUUCUAUCUGCUUCUGAUCUCAUCUGACAGAACACUUUACAUCCACAACAUUUCAUCAGGUUCUAACAUGCAGAGCUUUGGAACACAUUUAUUUCCAGACAAAGCAACAGAAAAGUUGAUGAAGACCAGCAGCAGCAGCAACAAUCCACAGGAUCAAUCUAGAAAAAGCAGCCGGGAUGCAGCAGUUUUUGGCCAAAAAGAGCCCCAAUUUUUUCCAGCUGCAUUCCGUGAUUCCAACCGGGUCCCUGAACGCAACAACUGAGCAUUCCGUGAUUCCAACCAGGUCCCUGAACGCAACAGCUGAGCAGGAGUUGAUGCAGGCCGCAGUACCGAUCCUGAUAGUUGUCGGCCUUGGAUGAUGAGGUCCAGUUACCAGGAGCACUAGUCUGCAGCUUACUGGUUCCGUCCUGCAGCUCCUCCACGCCGUCCUCCUCUCUACAGACCAAAUCAAGAAAAGGGAACCAGGAAGCUGCUGUGGAUCCUCUGCAGUAUCUGGAGAGGUCAGAGGAACAGUUCUUGGAACAGAUCUGAAAACACCGAGACCUGACCACUGCCAUGCUCCAGAACAUCCAGAGGACGGAUGAAAAUUCAAACACCUUGGCUGGACUGAUGGGACGCAUGGUGUCGGUGCUGGAGCGACUGUCACAGAAAUAAACUGCAUUGUCCACUAUUUCUGCCUUUUUUAGAAAAAGUAAUCAUAUUUUUUAUUGAUUCUUUUCCUUCUUAGCUAUUUAAGUACACUGGUAUUUUACUCUUGCACUUUAGGUGAAUACAAAUAUAUUUGUGAUGAAA